GUUCUAUUGCAGAGGGGUACAUAGCAGAAGAAUGUACAACCUUUUGUUCAAGAUAUUUGCAUGAUGUUGAAACGAAGCAUGACCGUGAAGAAAGAAAUUAUGUCAUUGAAAAUAACAUAACAAAUGGUGGAGGGUUAACCAUUUUCAAAUGCAUGGGACGUACAAUAGGAAAGUCAACAUCUCGUGUUCUUAGCACAGAAGAAUGGUCCCAAGCACAUUUAUAUGUGUUGACUAAUUGUGAGGAAGUGACGUCAUUUAUUGAAGAGCAUAAGCAAUCUAUAAGGGUUAAGCCUCGUAUUCGUGCACGAGAUGUAGAUUUGAUUCACAGAAGAGAAUUCAUUAGUUGGUUUGAAGAACGUAUUAUACAAAUGCGACAUGAAGGUCCAAUUUCUGAACACAUACUAUCAUUGUCUCGUGGACCAAGUACAUCAGUUACAUGUUAUAGAGGAUACAUCAUUAAUGGGUUCAGAUUUCACACAAGAGAACGAGAAAA